rnacentral:rRNA from 1 species
AUUGAACGCGGGCGGCAUGCCUUACACAUGCAAGUCGAACGGUAACAGGUCUUCGGAUGCUGACGAGUGGCGAACGGGUGAGUAAUACAUCGGAACGUGCCUAGUAGUGGGGGAUAACUACUCGAAAGAGUGGCUAAUACCGCAUGAGAUCUACGGAUGAAAGCAGGGGAUCGCAAGACCUUGUGCUACUAGAGCGGCCGAUGGCAGAUUAGGUAGUUGGUGGGAUAAAAGCUUACCAAGCCGACGAUCUGUAGCUGGUCUGAGAGGACGAUCAGCCACACUGGGACUGAGACACGGCCCAGACUCCUACGGGAGGCAGCAGUAGGGAAUUUUGGACAAUGGGCGCAAGCCUGAUCCAGCAAUGCCGCGUGCAGGAUGAAGGCCUUCGGGUUGUAAACUGCUUUUGUACGGAACGAAAAGCCCCGGGUUAAUACCCUGGGGUCAUGACGGUACCGUAAGAAUAAGCACCGGCUAACUUCGUGCCAGCCGCCGCAGUAA